rnacentral:lncRNA from 1 species
UGCCAAGCUCGAAUCCCAAGGUCUGCAGUGUUCCCUUUGUAAUGGAGAUCCCUCAUCUAGUGAAAGCUGCCUUAGAGGUAUGUGGAAUGUGACCAUCACAAGCUUGCUUUUAUUCUGAACAGCUGAAAAGACAACAGAAAUCUCUUACACAAAUAAGCACAUAGGUCUUCACAUGCGUAAUGAAGCUGGACCUGAAUGUGUGUGUUUAUCACGCUACUUCUUCACAUUAAUGUAUAGUUGAGCUUCACAUAUUUGUUACAGUUUGCCUUUGCACUGCUAGCAAGUUUGAACCGUAUAAAUUGCUAUGGAUUCUCUUUUGAAUGUUUAUUUCAUUAGCACACAAAUCUAAUAAGACUGAGUCAACAGGCUCAGGGCUGCUAAUCUAGCCCUGUCAGAUAUGACGUUCUACAAACAGGGUGUCUAGUUUCUUUGCACAGACGCUGGAUUUGUUGGAUACCAACAGUUCGGUUGCUUUAUACAACCUCCUAACAGCUGAAAGAAAUUGGAAACAGGCUCCCAGGCAGCUGGGUAUCCUGGAGUGGAGACCUUGAGCAUCUACCAGUAUUACAAGUGUCCAUUUCUUACUAUGCUGAGCACCACUUUGAAAACAUGGAUCUAUAAAUAAUCUAUUAAUAGGAUUUGGCGUGGUGAUGCCCAUUUGAAUCAGCAGAAGGUUUGAAAAACUGCCUUUAUGAGGCAUACAUUGCUCAUU